GGCGGCGGCCGGACAGCGGGUCCGCCAGGGCCGGGGGAGCGCAGAGCGGCGGCGGGACUGAGGACGAGGAGAGGGGAGGUAGCGGAGGGGGGUGUGUGAGCCCCCCCUACCCCUCACCCCGACCGCCGUGCUGGGGGUGUGACCCCGACCUGGGAGCGCCUGCUGAGGGUGGCCUAAAGGGGCCAACACCGCCCGGGCGGAGGCACAGCCAGUCCCUGGCGUCGCCAGGUGAGCGCAGGGAUUACGAAGGCGCUUCCAUUCAUUCUUACGGCUGAAAGACCAAUGUAAACCGGUGGCACAGAGUCAAACGUUUCUUUCUGAUAACCGCUGUUGUACGGUAUUCUGUACUCGGCUUUUGUUUUUCUUUUAGUACUAGUUUGCAUUUUUGGAUUAUCUAGUCAGUGGUCAGGUAAAAAGUAUUACUCGUCUCAAUCGUUGUUAGAUUGGCGGAGAUAAUUAUUAUUUGUGACUCAUUAUUGAACUUCCUUUUCAACUAAAAUCAACUGGAAGAUCAAUCAUCACUUUUGGAGAGAAAACUUGUAGAGGUGUGAUUCGAGACACUGGCUCUCAUCUGCAAGCUACAGCAUGAAUGCCUUAGCACUAAAAGUCUCUGCACACUGUAAAAUGGUCCUUUCAAAUGGUGUUUCCAGCCUGAUAGCCAGGCAUGCUUUGUUAGCACAGUAAAGGUCAUAGUGCACAGAGGGAUAAGCAUAAUUGGAAUGCAGCGAAACAGCUAUGAUGCAGCCAUCAGCAUAAUUAGAAGUAAAAAAUCCACAAACUCUUCUUAGACCUUUAAGCCCAUGUUAAUUUACAGCCAUAUUGCCAGCAGGUAUACCAUGUAUAAGCAUUUGAAAGAAACCAAGACAGUUCACAUAUUCCUGCAAAGUGAACGUACAGAGCUGUUCUUUUGUGCUACCAGGACUGUUGGACAUGUCCUGAAAUCAUCUUAGUAAAAUGUGAAAGAAUGCUUCCAGAGAUGGCAAAAGCCCUUGAAAUAAAAUAAUCAGACUUAAUUAAGGUUCAAUAAAUAUCUGAUAUAAAAAACAACUUAAAUUUUAAAAGAUACGUGUGUGCAUUUUCAGUGUGUCUUUAGUUAUCUGUGACAUAUUUUAGUUAAUGUAUAUAAGUUACAAUGUAAUGUCUGUUUUCCCAUCUACUCACUUGUGCUUAUUGUAACACAAUAAACCAGGAAAAAGCUUGGAGAACUUGGCCAUGUUUGACUGUAAAUACAAACUGUUACAGGUAAAGACAUAUAUGUGUAUAACUUUAAGAAUGUAAGUUAUAGUCCAUUUGAGUCCUCUUGUCAGUAUGUGUUAGGCCAAGCCCUGCAAACACUCCUAGUUACAACUUUGAUAGCACAACUAACCUCAUUAUUUGUAGUAGUAUUAAUCAUCUUCAAACACUGGCUGACGAAUUAAAGGACUUGAAAAGCCCACUUUUUUAUAUCAGAAUUUCUUUCCUUUUCUUACCUUCUAUGUGCUUAGCCCAUGAAUGCAUUCUUUAAUUGGACUGUACAUUUUUAGAGGAGAGAUUGGAUAGGAUUUUCUGUUUACCUUAGCACGUACCAGGAGAACCCCCAUUCAUUAUUGCAACAUUGUAUCUAUACGUGCAAACAUUUAGGCAAAUGAUACAAUAUGCACAACUUUGAGAGGACAGCAGUUCUCUUUCUUCAGGCUUACUGGUUGAUGCUGUUCAACAAACCAAUGCUCCCUGGGACAUCAGAGCUCUUCCUAUAAAAAAUUUUAGAGUAAUUUCCUCUAGAAAAUUUGUGAAAAAAAAAAACCUAGGUUCACUGGGAUGUCAGUGGGAACAGUAAUAGGCCUUUUAAUUUUAUAGUUCAGCAAAAAUCCACAUUAUCUCACAGGAUUUAGCUGCUGUAUUUGAGAGCUUCUUUGGGGCCUCCAGUUCUUACACAAUAACCACAUCCUGUUUACAGAUGAGACUAUUUUGCUUAACCUCCUUCAUGUGUCCCACUCAGUCCUUCCGGCCUCUGAUGUCUGAAAUUUCUUUCCAGUGUUUUAUACCCCAGUCCAAAGUCCAAGUGUCUUGCAUAGCUGGGCAAGAAGCAGUCAGACCCAACUAGUUUGCAACAUUUUUAUUCUCAGCUAUGGCAGAGUCCAACUGUGACAGAGUCAGUGUUAAAUAUUCACAAGUUGUUUAGGCCCCAGCAGCACCAUGCAAAUCCCUGCCACCAAAUGAAUCCACUUGGCUCUGGUCUUCUUUGCCUUCCUAUUGGCUAACACUGCUAGAAAAGGAGAGAGAGGGUCACCUGCUCAUUUCUUGAUCAGUGUUCUACAGAUACCGCAUAAAUAGCCACUGUUCCUAACAGUUGUUUGAGGCCAUGGGGAACUUCUUCAUGGGGCAUGAAGUGUUGGCCUAGAUACAAAUGCGAUCCUACAGACCAAUGGUUGGUGCAGGUCAGAAUUGUUGGGUCUUUAGCCUCAAGAUAAGCACAAUAACUUAACAGAUAACUGCAGAGUGCAGUCAUCACUGUGCUUAUGAGCCUUUGGGGGGGUUUUUUUGUUUGGUUGGUUAGUUGUUUUUUAUUUGGUUUUGGGGUUUUUUUGUUUGUUUUCACUGCUGAUGCUUUUGAGAAAGGAUCACACAGGAUCACUCUUGAGGAGAAAAGACAACUCAGAAAGAAUCGUGUCUUGCAGAAUAUACCACCUAAGGAGUCUUUCUGCUGUGCCUUUUGCAACCAGACGUGUCUAUCUCAUAUUGGCCUUUUUAGCCACCAGCGCACUUGUAACAAACGUGGGUAGAGCCCUUCUCAAAUCUUUGUUCGCGAAGCCCAGCCAUAGUGACUGUACCAGCAGUUUUACCCUGAAGAAGAAAGAGAAUUAUAGUAGUUCCACAUGAAGCAGGAGUAAAAGUCCACCCAGUUAUAAUGGAUGCUAAGAUGUGGUGGAAUAAUCCAGAGCAGUGGGUAGGUAAUGAAGUGACAGGUCCAUACAUAUUGUUUGUCAUACUUUGUACAUAAGCUCCGAAAGCAUUACCAGCUGUAUCCAGAGAAGGCAGUGUACUCCAGGUGAUUUGCACACCAUAAUAAUUAUUGCAAUACUCAGCACAGAUGAGAAAUGGACCAUCAGAAGUGUCCUCAGGAUCUCUGCUUGGCCUCUAACUGCACUAAAGCUUUUGAAAGUCAGUCAAUCCAGGCUUUGAAGACUAAGAAAGAUGCUUAGCUUUUCUGAGAACUUCUUAAUGGUGCUUAGUCACUCACACUGCAGUAAGGAUUGACUGAGCCCUAGCCAAACAUUUCCUUGCUAUAAAUAGAAAGAAACUGGGAAACAUUUCUGGAGUAAUGUUAUUCAGGUUGUUCUACUCAAAUGUAUUGGACAGGGCAGUGUAACCACAGCUCCAGUGAGUUUUGGAAUCUUUCCUGCCUGCUGGGAAGCUGCUCAAGCUUUCUAGACUCAGAGCUGUUGCCAAAAAAAAUCUGUGAUUUUUUUCCCCCAAUAAUCUGCAUUGGUGACAAAUCCAGCUACAGGUGAGGUUUUUUUGAUAUUUCUGCAGCUUGAUUUGAAUAAACCAUGAACAAGAAGGAAAUUAAGAGCAUGUGUCAAUUAGCUUGUCGGUUCCUGGAAAAAAAAGCUAUGCUAGUGCUUGGGAUAACCACAAUUGGAGAUGAACUGUCUAUGGUUUGUAAAUUCACUGAUUUCAGAAACAUCCUGAUUGACCAUGGCUAUACCGAUAUGAUGAGUUUCUUCAUUUGAAGCCUGUGUGGUCUUUGGCAGGUACACAGAUCAUGGAGCAUCCUUAAUAAAAGACCUAUGGAGCAGCAUAGGACUAACAUCCUCUGUAUGGAUGUCAUCAGGCUGUAUGGACAUGGAUGGCAGAGAGAGGGCAUAUCCUACUGCCACAGAGUCUGCACCAAGAUUCCUGCACAUUCAGCUCAGAGGCUGCUGAGCUCUUUGGGCUAGAAGUCACCUUGAAGAAAACAGAAGUUUUCUAUCAACCUGCAUCUCAGGAAGUCUUUCGUCAUCCCCAUAUCACCAUUGGUGAAUCAGAGCUCAAAUCAGUCCAGAAGUUUAAUUAUCUGGGAAGCAUCAUCUCCUCGGACGGUAAGAUUGACAGAGAGAUAGACAACAGGUUAGCAAAGGCAUAUAGUGCUUUCAGAAAAGUCCAUAAAAGAAUCUGGCAAAAUAAACACCUGAAGAAAAAUACAAAGAUCAGUGUUUACAGAGCCAUAGUGCUGUCUACUCUUUUAUAUGGUUCCAAAUCAUGGGUCAUCUACCACCACCACCUGCGUCUCCUAGAACGCUUCCAUCAAUGCUGCCUCCGUACAAUCCUAAACAUCCACUGAUCAGAUUAUGUGACCAAUACAUCUGUUCUAGAACAAGCAGCAGUUAUGAGUAUUGAGGCCAUGUUGCUGAGAACACAGCUGCGUUGGGCAGGACAUGUCUCAAGGGUGAAGGACUACUGCCUCUCUAAGAUCAUGCUCUGUGGUGAACUUGCCACUGAUUGCCACAAGAGAGGAGCCCCGAAAAGAAGAUACAAGGACUCCCUGAAACAACAUCUCAGCCUUGGCCAGAUUGAUCAACAUAACUGGUCUACUCUGGCCUCCAAUUGGGAGGCCUGGAGACACACCAUCUAUAAUGCUGCUGCUUCCAUUGAGAAUGCACACAGGAUCACUCUCGAGGAGAAAAGACAAUGUAGAAAGAAUCGUGUCUUGCCGAUACCACCCUAAGGAGUCUUUCUGCUGUGCCUUUUGCAACCGGACUUGUCUAUCUCGCAUUGGCCUUUUUAGCCACCAGCGUGCUUGUAGCAAGUGUGGGUAGAGCCCUUCCCAAAUCUUCAUUCACGAAGCCUAGCCAUGAUGAUGAUGUAUUUCUAUAUAUUUAUUAAUGGUCUUGAAAAGACACUUAAUGGCAUCUAGGUGAGAGAACUAGUCAGAAGACUUCACAAAACUAAAAAGAAUCAUAUGUCUAGCAAAAUGAAAUGCUUGUAAAUUAAAAUAUAGAGUGAGAAAAUUUCAAAUAGAAAUAUGAAUAUUUAUUUUCAAGUUUUAAAUUACCACCAUCAUGCUUGUAGAAGCUCAGGGAAAAGAUAUGUUUGGUAAUAGCAAAUAAAUAAAUUUGUUUCAGUGUACAGUCAGUGGAAUAUAUUUCUAAAAAGUUACUAAUGUAUAUUGGGUUGAGACUGAAUUUUAUCAAGCUAAACAUUAUUGGGAAAUGAAAAUAGGUUGGGAGAGUCUAACUUGUUUAGGAGAACUGUAAGAUAUUGAGAGUAAGUAUACAUCUUUGAGGAAAGAGGUGAAUCAGAGGCAACAGUUAUAUACAAAUAAUAGUGAAAAAGAGAAGAUUAUGAGGGGCAUGAAGAUUACUUUAUGAGAAGACGAUGAGUCUACUUUAUACUUGGUCAUCCAAGAAAAAAAUGAAAAAUAUUGAAUUAGGAGCUAACAAAUUAAAAAAUGACAACAGGCUAUAUCUCUUAUACUACACAAAAUGAAGUGUUGUAAUUUAAUGUAAAAAAAAUCAUCUGAGAGCUUUGAAAGAUUUUUAAAGUAGAUACUUGGAUGAUUAAUAAAAACAUCCACUGAUAAUUAGCUAACAACUUUGAAAAACAUUGCAUAUAGACAUUCAUAACCAAAUUAAUCAGAAUUUAGCUGAUAUAAGGAAGGAAUUACCUCUACAGAGGGAUCAGUUGCAUUUCUUCAUUUUGGAGGCUUUUUCUAACUUCCUGUAACUAAGUAUUGUCUGGAUUAUACACAGGAUUAUAUGGACCACUGGUUUAAUUUCAUUGGUAAACUGCUAUUCUACUCCCAAAUAAGGCAAUUUAUAUAUAUAUGUUGUGAUAGGUUUUUACUUUUGACUGAGUUUCUUUUUGUUUACAGUAUUUUUAAGUAUCUAGGUUUCCUUAUUGUUAGCAAUUCUCUCAGUUAUGUGAUUUCCCUUCAUAUCUUGGAACAGGCAUGUCCCGCCCUCUAAAUGAUAUCAAUGGGACAAUUCGUCACUUCAUAAGUAAUAUAAGUAAGAAAAAUUCCCUGUAUCAUUUAUAUGUGUUUGAGAAACCGUGUUAAACUUUAUAUAUAUUGGACAAACACAGUAUCUGACAUUUAAAAACUUACGAAUAUUUGGACAAGAAUCCUGGAAGACACUUUAAAUUCAAGAAGCACUUACACCUUGGUAUCUUUAGGAAAUUCUCACUGCAUACAAAGAAACGGCUACUUCUGUGAAAUAUUUGCAGUGUUUCAGGAUUGAAGGGAGUUGCGAAGGAUGUGCACUUUUCACUCAAAGAGCCUUUUAAAAGAACGCUGAAUGUACAUACAGUUCUUUAAAUAUUCUUUACUGUAUUAUAGGUUUAACAUGGCCAUUUGGACCCAUAAUUUUAACACCGUGUAUGAGCUUUUCAGCUGUGUUGAAAUUUGAGAGUGAACACUGUACUGGUCAUUUCACUUACCAGUUUUCAUAUUAUCAUAAUGGGAUUUUUUACCCCAAAAUAAUGCAAAUAAAUUCACCUUUGAACUAUUUGUUUCAAAGUAUGCAAAUACUAUGACUAUCUAUAUGCAUUUUAUAUUUUUUUGUUUAUUUUUAAAAUGUAAUUUAUAAGAACUGGCUUUAAUGAGUGUUUUUGUUAUGGGGAUUGAUAAUCAAAAUAAGAAGGAAAAGAGUGAAUCAAAUGCAAAUCUGAAAAAUCAGGGCAUCAUGCUCUGGAGGAUAUAAGAUUCAGGCCUUAAAGGGCAGCACUUCCCAAUGGUAGGAUCACUCAUACAAGAAAUACCUGUCACUGGAUAUGACUGAAUUCAACAUAGAUAUAAAGCAGGAGUAACUCCAUAAUUGUUUGGAUGCUACUGUGGCACAAACUAUAAAAUCCCUAACUAGAAAGAUAGAAAGGUUGGUCUUAGAUCUAUGUGUUGACUGAAGUCUGCAGCUGUCACUGAGCAAUUAACCAGGAGUUGUGCUGGAGAGCCCUCUGACUUCCCUGGAGUUGUUCUGGGCUUCCCAGAGCUUCAGUCACAAUGAGCAUCAACAUCUUAAAAGCAACUCCUCUCUUAUCCUUCAGGUAAAACUCAGUGUGGAGGUAAAAGCUGGCACGCUGUCAGAGAACAGGGCAGAAAAAAAUAUCUGCUCCCCCAAAUGCCUUUCUGCCACCAGACUUCUCUUCUGGUCUGAGCUGUCUUUUGCUGUCAAAUCUGGCAAAGGGAUGAAAAAUUGGAAUUUGUGUUUAAGGAAAAAGCUUUGGAGAGCUUAAACUCACUAUGAUAGUAGGAAUCCCCUUAAGUUUUUUGUAUAAUGCAUCAAACAAGAAGGGUCAAAAGAAAGUACAGAUAGUUCUUCUGGGAAGGGCUCAAGGAACAAAUCAAUUCUCUAGCCAUCUGGAAUCCCCUGUCUAAGUGUAAUCCCUGAAAUACACCUGUGUAGGCCAGACAUACAUUAUGGUCAAUGGUGAGAAGACCUAAAAAAUCAGGACAAUUACUUCUGAUGCUUGCUGUGAGAAGACUUUCCAUCAAGCUUAAUAUUCUGUUAGUCUGUACAGUCUGAUUAAGAUAAAAUAUAAUGAAGUCUAGAUAUGUGUCUAUACUUAGCCACCUAACACCAUUUGUGAUAAGGGAAUAGGUGCCAGGCAGGACAACAAUUUGUGAACCUGUUGGUAACCAAAGAUAGCUGGAAGGAAGAUAUAACUAUUGCAUGCUUGAGCAUGGUCAGCAUGAAAGGAGGCAUUAACAAUUCUCAGCAGUAAUAUCUCUCUGCUUAUUAGUGUGUCUUUGCUAACUUUAGUCAUCCAUGAAGAACAAUCUUAAUGAUGGUAAGAUGGUACAUAAUGAUGUAAGUCUGAAAUUUUUAAUAGAAGUUCUCUAUGUGACAAAUGAUGUAUUAACUUUGACUUGGACUGAGUCUUUAAUAUUCUGCCCAGUGAAAGAAUCUCAGGAGUCUUAUGGGUAGUACCAAAUUUACAGCCAACUUUCUGAUAAUACGAAAGAUGAAUUAGUCUUUAAAGUUUCCUCAGCUGGAUCUUGCAGCUGAUAAGGAAAUCAGUAAAUUUUGAGGGGUGAACAGCCUCCCAAAUAUGUGUGUACAUGUUUUACUUUCCUAAAUAUACCAAGAGACUGGUUGUUGCAAUCUCUGCACUGGAAAUUGUAUUUCACAGUAUGUGCAGCUGAGAAUAAUAUAAAAAAUAAACCUUUUUUUGUCUAAGGAAGCUUCCUUUCCUUUAAUAAAAUAUUGGGAAAAUGCACUUCUUAAACAGACAAUGUAAACUUAACAAAACUGGUGCCUUAAUACUCCUAUAAUAAAUGACAUUUUUUAAAUA